rnacentral:rRNA from 1 species
GGACUACCGGGGUAUCUAAUCCCGUUCGCUCCCCUGGCUUUCGCGCCUCAGCGUCAGAAAAGGUCCAGCGUGCCGCCUUCGCCACCGGAGUUCCUGUAGAUAUCAACGCAUUUCACCGCUCCACCUACAGUUCCGCACGCCCCUACCUCCCUCCAGACCGCCAGUAUUCAAGGCACUUCCCCGGUUGAGCCGGAGGAUUUCACCCCAAACUUGGCAGCCCGCCUACGCGCCCUUUAAGCCCAGUGAUUCCGAACAACGUUCGCUCGGUUCGUCUUACCGCGGCUGCUGGCAC